rnacentral:misc_RNA from 1 species
GAUGGGUACUGUGAUCAAGUCAGGGACACAGAUGAUUUUGAGGAGCAGAUUAUUCGUUCAAUAGGAGAAUUCAUUUCAUUAGAAGAAAAUGAUUCCGAGUCCCUGAUUUCUUCUGAAGGAAGAAUGAUGAUUGUUGGGAAGCCAUCACCAGAUGGAAAUGCUUUGAUUCCUUUACAUGACAACACCACCAUUAAUUUGGGUCCUGCAAACAUGGCAAAUGCUGAAACUUACAUAGGUGCAGCCAGUGAUAUGAUUGAGAAAGUUGGUCCUGUAUGCAGAAAAAAGGUAAGAUUUAUCUUACCUGAGAAUACU